rnacentral:rRNA from 1 species
CCUGGAGUUACUAGCAGAUGGAUUCCUCCUUUAGAAGGCUUUAUUAAAAUCAAUGUUGACGCAUGUGUCUCAACAGACCAGACUGUGGGCACAACAACCGCAGUAUGCAGGGAUCGGGAUGGAGCUUUUCUUGGCUCGUCCAUGAUUCUGAUCCAUGGGUUAGUUGAUCCUCUCUCGCUCGAGGCGAUUGCAUGUAGGGAGGGGUUGGCUCUGGCGCAAGAUCUUGGCAUGGAAUAUACUCAAGCCGCUUCGGACUGCAAGCAAGUGAUACAACACAUUCACCAGGGAGCAAGAGGAGAUUAUGGCGCUAUCAUUAAGGAAAUUUUGGAAACUUCUACCACUUUUAAUUCUUGUAAUUUUUGCUUUGAAUUUCGAGAAUCAAAUUUUGAACCUCAUAAGCUAGCUAGGUUUGGUGUUUCUCUUCCUGUUGGAAGACACCAUAUGGUUGGGUACUCCACAUGA